rnacentral:rRNA from 1 species
UAGGGAAUCUUCCGCAAUGGGCGAAAGCCUGACGGAGCAAUGCCGCGUGAGUGAAGAAGGCCUUCGGGUCGUAAAACUCUGUUAUAAGAGAAGAACAAAUUGUAGAGUAACUGCUACAGUCUUGACGGUAUCUUAUCAGAAAGCCACGGCUAACUACGUGCCAGCAGCCGCGGUAAUACGUAGGUGGCAAGCGUUGUCCGGAUUUAUUGGGCGUAAAGGGAGCGCAGGUGGUUUCUUAAGUCUGAUGUGAAAGCCCACGGCUUAACCGUGGAGGGUCAUUUGAAACUGGGAAACUUGAGUACAGAAGAGGAAUGUGGAACUCCAUGUGUAGCGGUGGAAUGCGUAGAUAUAUGGAAGAACACCAGUGGCGAAGGCGACAUUCUGGUCUGUUACUGACACUGAGGCUCGAAAGCGUGGGGAGCAAACAGG